GAAACAGAAGCCUUCAAGCUAAAUAUGGGGUAAAUAUAAAUAGCCAGUACCUGCUGAUGCCUCCCCAUAACAGGAAUUACCAUCAAAAUGCCAGUAACUGAUUCCAUCGUUGUAUCCAGUCAUUGUGGAGAGAGGCAGCCCAUUGAGAAGACAAAGCAGACAUCAUUUAUAAUUACAGAUUCUUUGUUAUAGUCCAAAGAGAAUAAAAAAAAGUGCUGAAAUUCUUCUUCUGUAGUU
ensembl:lncRNA